UACGUAGGGACCAAGCGUUGUUCGGAUUCACUGGGCGUAAAGGGUGCGUAGGCGGCCGGGUAAGUCUGAUGUGAAAUCCCGCAGCUCAACUGCGGAACUGCAUCGGAUACUCUCCGGCUAGAGGAAUGGAGGGGAGACUGGAAUUCUCGGUGUAGCAGUGAAAUGCGUAGAUAUCGAGAGGAACACCAGUGGCGAAGGCGAGUCUCUGGACAUUUCCUAACGCUGAGGCACGAAAGCCAGGGGAGCAAACGGG
rnacentral:rRNA from 1 species